rnacentral:rRNA from 1 species
UACGUAGGGUGCAAGCGUUGUCCGGAAUUAUUGGGCGUAAAGAGCUCGUAGGCGGUUUGUCGCGUCUGCUGUGAAAAUCCAGGGCUUAACCCUGGACCUGCAGUGGGUACGGGCAGACUGGAGUGCGGUAGGGGAGAUCGGAAUUCCUGGUGUAGCGGUGAAAUGCGCAGAUAUCAGGAGGAACACCGGUGGCGAAGGCGGAUCUCUGGGCCGAUACUGACGCUGAGGAGCGAAAGCGUGGGGAGCGAACAGG